AGCAGCCGCGGUAAUUCCAGCUCCAAUAGCGUAUAUUAAAGUUGCUGCAGUUAAAAAGCUCGUAGUUGAAUUUCGGGACCAUCAUGUCGGUCGUGCCUCGGUACGUACUGGCAUUGUUGGUUUCUCCCUUCUGACGAACCAUGAUGUCAUUUAUUUGGUGUCGUGGGAAAUCAGGACUGUUACUUUGAAAAAAUUAGAGUGUUUAAAGCAGGCUCACGCUUGAAUACAUUAGCAUGGAAUAAUGAAAUAGGACGUUUGAUUCUAUUUUGUUGGUUUCUAGGAUCGACGUAAUGAUUAAUAGGGAUAGUUGGGGGCAUUAGUAUUCAAUUGUCAGAGGUGAAAUUCUUGGAUUUAUUGAAGACUAACUACUGCGAAAGCAUUUGCCAAGGAUGUUUUCAUUAAUCAAGAACGAAAGUUAGGGGAUCGAAGACGAUCAGAUACCGUCGUAGUCUUAAACCAUAAACUAUGCCGACUAGGGAUCGGAUGAUGUUAAUUUUUAAUGACUCAUUC
rnacentral:rRNA from 1 species